CCUACGGGUGGCAGCAGUCGAGAAUCAUUCACAAUGGGGGAAACCCUGAUGGUGCGACGCCGCGUGGGGGAAUGAAGGUCUUCGGAUUGUAAACCCCUGUCAUGUGGGAGCAAAUUAAAAAGAUAGUACCACACUAGGAAGAGACGGCUAACUCUGUGCCAGCAGCCGCGGUAAUACAGAGGUCUCAAGCGUUGUUCGGAAUCACUGGGCGUAAAGCGUGCGUAGGCUGUUUCGUAAGUCGUGUGUGAAAGGCGCGGGCUCAACCCGCGGACGGCACAUGAUACUGCGAGACUAGAGUAAUGGAGGGGGAACCGGAAUUCUCGGUGUAGCAGUGAAAUGCGUAGAUAUCGAGAGGAACACUCGUGGCGAAGGCGGGUUCCUGGACAUUAACUGACGCUGAGGCACGAAGGCCAGGGGAGCGAAAGGGAUUAGAUACCCUUGUAGUC
rnacentral:rRNA from 1 species